GACGAACGCUGGCGGCGUGCCUAAUACAUGCAAGUAGAACGCAGUUGCGAACGGGUGAGUAACGCGUAGGUAACUGCCGCAUAGCGGGGGAUAACUAUGGGAAACGAAAGCAAAUACGGCUUACUGUGAGCUUGACCUGCGUUGGAUUAGGUAGUUGGAGAGGUAAAGGCUCACCAAGGCGACGAUACAUAGCCGCCCUGAGAGGGAGAACGACCACACUGGGACGGAGAAACGGACCAGACUCCUACGGUGUGCAGCAAUUGGGAAACGUCGGCAAUGGACGGAAGUCUGACCGAGCCACGCCGCGUGAGUGCAGAAGGUUUUCGGAUCGGAAAGCUCUGUUGUUCGAGAAGCGGUAACUAACCAGAAAGGGACGGCUAACUACGUGCCAGCAGCCGCGGUAAUUC
rnacentral:rRNA from 1 species